CAUAGUCCUCCCACUAUAUAUCUGCCAUAGAGGUCAAUAUUUCACAUAGUCCUCCCCCCACUAUAUAUCUGCCAUAGAGGUCAAUAUUUCACAUAGUCCUCCCAAAAUAUAUCUGUCAUAGAGAGGUCAAUAUUUCACAUAGUCCUUCCACAAUAUAUCGGGCAUUGAGGUCAAAAGUUCACAUAGCUCUCCCACAAUAUAUCUGCUUUUGAGGUCAACAUUUCUCACUUCGAAAUGAACAUGGAAUCAGCUUGAAUUCAGUUUGAUGUCCCAGUAUGAAUCAUUCUGUGAUGUUUAGACUGUUCCAAUAGUAGCACUGCUUACAUCCCUUUCCCUAGAUGUACAUUAGAAAUGAAUGUGAUGAACAGUCAUAUCAAUAUGAUGUGUGGUAUUUCAUUAAAUUAUGUAAUGAGACAGACAUUCAAUGAACAAUAAUAACUAAUGCAUUCUGUUUUACAUGAUCAUUAUUCAUGACUCUCCAUCUUGGAUAAUGGAUGAUCAGAAAAAUGUGAGUAAUUACUUAUUUGUCUGUUUUGUUUAUUGACAACCAAUAACACAAGACAAAGAACAGACCAGAGUGUUAAUCUGAUACUAUAAAAACUACAGGCCUUGUGAACAGCAGUGUGUCUUCUUCAAGACUACAAAUUAAAUCAGUUCCUUUACAUUUAUCAAUACUCUCCCCAAAUGUUCUCAAGGUAGGUUGGAUUAAGAUGUAUAGAUGUUCUGUAAAUUAUCCAGAAUUUUAUAUCAUAGUCCUCGCACAAUAUAUCUGGCAUAGAGGUCAACAUUUCACACUCCAAAGAAGUUAAGAGAAUUAUGUUCUCAAAGUUCAUAAACUGACCUUCAAUUAAACUACUCGGUCUGUUACCGAGAUUUUGUAAGGUUCUUGUUGAAAUGAAACAGACAGAGGCCAGUCUACAAUAGUCAGCAACGUUUAUUUACGAGAGCUCUACUUAGUUGUACAAAACCAUUUAUUUUAUACUUGGCUUGUUACGCACAUACAUACACACACAACAUUAGGUAUCCAACGCACACCCCGUCCUGCUACCCAGCUGAGAGAGAUUAGGGAAGGCCACGAAAAACACUCCCCAUCCUCCCUCAAGAUAGGGGGGCCCUGGGAAGUACGUCCUUUCCUUUCUACCAUCUCCCAGAGGCCCCAUGUCCAAGGUCUGCAUGAGAAUUCUGCUAAGACAGUCUGUGUUUGAGACACCCAGACACCACAUUAUCUAUAUUGUUUUACUCUAAUUCUGACUAGAAUUACACAUUUAUUGAUUAUAAUUUUAUACAUUCUAAUCAAUUCCAUUAAAUCAUACAGGGGGAGGGUGGAAUACUGUUAAUUAUAAUCCUGUGUUAAAUGUAUACAUCAUUUAGUCAUUAUUCAUAAAAUUCACAACCAAAAUUAACAUGGAAUCAUCUUGAAUUCAGUUUGAUAUCCUAGUAUGAAACAUUCUGUGAUGUUUAGACUGUUCCAAUAGUAGCACUGCUUACAUCCCUUUCCCUAGAUGUACAUUAGUAAUGAAUGUGAUGAACAGUCAUUACAAUAUGAUGUAUGGUAUUUCAUUAAAUGAUGUAAUGAGAUAGAAAUUCAAUGAACAAUUAUAACUAAUGUAUUCUGUUUUACAUGAUCAUUAUUCAUGACUCUCCAUCUUGGAUAAUGGAUGAUCAGAUUUCCGACCAAUCUCAGGAUCACUGUAUUUACAACGUGAGACCCAGGAGGACAAGCUGAAGAGGGAGGCAUCAGCUGGUGAGCUUGGUAAGUAU